rnacentral:rRNA from 1 species
CAGGCUUGACAUCGCGUGUAAAGCUGUGAAAGCAGCUCCUCUCCGCAAGGAGACGCAAAGAC